rnacentral:rRNA from 1 species
AACGAACGCUGGCGGCAUGCCUAACACAUGCAAGUCGAACGAGACCUUCGGGUCUAGUGGCGCACGGGUGCGUAACGCGUGGAAACCUGCCCUUAGGUUCGGAAUAACUCCCCGAAAGGGGUGCUAAUACCGGAUAAUGUCUUCGGACCAAAGAUUUAUCGCCUUUGGAUGGGCCCGCGUUGGAUUAGCUAGUUGGUAGGGUAAAAGCCUACCAAGGCGACGAUCCAUAGCUGGUCUGAGAGGAUGAUCAGCCACACUGGGACUGAGACACGGCCCAGACUCCUACGGGAGGCAGCAGUGGGGAAUAUUGGACAAUGGGCGAAAGCCUGAUCCAGCAAUGCCGCGUGAGUGAUGAAGGCCUUAGGGUUGUAAAGCUCUUUUACCCGGGAUGAUAAUGACAGUACCGGGAGAAUAAGCUCCGGCUAACUCCGU